UAUUUUUGUUGCCAGGUUGUGGAUUGGUCAUAUAAAAGGGGAAACAUGGCUUUACGUGAGUCAGUUUCAUGUUAGGAUUUCAAGCUUGUCAAGACUUUUGUCUCUAGACAAAUAAAUCUGUUUUCAAGAAUAAUUUUUGGCUUUUUUUAUAACCAGUAUCAGAAAUAUGUUUGGUAAAUUUUUGUUUUCAUUGUGCCUGUGCAUUGCAAUUUCGUCAAUUGUCGUGAGCAGUUACGUCAUCUACCAUCACGUGCCAUCAUACUACAUGCCUGCACCGACUUAUUACAGACGGGUAGUCUACAAUCGAGCACCUGUUGUAUAUUACGGAGACGGUUAUGAUUCACCAGACUUCAAUUUUAACUCGUAAAUAACGGAUUUUGUGAAAAUGCUACUGAUAACAAUGGCCCAUCUAUAGAUAGAAAUGUCAACAAAGUUGUCUCUCACGUCAUCCGCAUCGCCAUGUACAUUGUUAGAACUUCCACAUCCAUCCUUUAUAAUGAUUUAUAGUACUGUAACCGUUUUAGCAGAAUGCCCAGUUUUUGAACAGUUAUCAUUUGCAACAACAUUAGUUCAAUUUAUGUUGUGUCAUAUGACCUUGAACUUUAACAUUUAAACUUUACUAUCCUGUCUCAAAUUUUUCCACAUAUUGAAUCAAAAAUCGCAAUUAUUAUAAUUGACAUUGUCUUAAAGGACCUUGUAAGUACUCCAGUUUCAAAUUUUCAGGAAAAGGUGUAAUUUCCAGAAUGUGCAAAAGUUUGCCGAAUCAUUAUAGCAAAGUAUGUUGUCUGCAUUCUAUACAUGUAUAGUAAAUAAUGCAAACAAAUAUAAUUUAAUUAAUUAGUCAAAACUUUGAUUUACGUUUUCUAAUUCUGAGAUUUCUGGCAGCCCUUAGUCGGAGUACGUAUAACUUUCAUUAAGCGUAGAAUAAUUUUAUAUGACUUUUAUCAUUUUUGUGUAUUUCACUAGUGUAUUUCAACUAUAUGUAAAUAAAUAAAUAAAAUCAAAUUCAUUGAACUUGGUUUGUU